GGGGACGACACUGGCGUGGGAUCAUCGAGAAGACUGCUUGGGAAACCCAACAGGAAAAAGAGGUAGUUUGAGCCAAGAAAAGCCACCAGACUUUUCUUUUGGCUUGAGGCAUUGUGUAUACAUUUGAAUAAUAAGAGCCAAAUUAAUGUUACAAUUCUGAUGUGACUGUUGAGCCACAGUGGUGUGCUAAUCACAGUUUUCCAGGGAUUAUCUUCAGUCCUUAUGCUAACUCUGCAAGAUGGGGAAAUUGAGGUCAAGAGAGAUCUCAGAUCUGGAACAAGGCUGGAGAGCGGAGUGCCUUGAAUACUAAGCUAAGGGAUCUCAGCUCUGCAAUGCGGACCAGUGAUGUUUCAACAUUUCCUCAUUUGAAUGCUUAUUCAUUGACCCACUUCCUACAUGCCAUGUGACCAGAUGUCCCAAGAAGAGUUCCUUUGGGAUGAAGUUAAUUCUCAUCCUUUGUAUACCAUUGUGAAAUAGCACUGCGAGAUGGUGACAAGACACAUCUGAAGCAAUCACCUAGACGAGUGCCAAGGAUCCAAAAGCUUUAGCUUCUCAUCCUGCUGUUAACUUGUUCUGCUAGCCCAGACGGAAUCCUGAGCUCUCCUAUAGUUAAACAAGAAGGCUUCAUCCUCAGAACCAGUGGCUCUGGCCCCUUCUCCCACCAUGAACUCGACGUAAUAAAUAACCAGAGGAUACUGGAGUAAGAGGUGCCACAACCUUGUGUGACCCAGAUACUCGUUCAUUGAUUUUUCCCUACUAAUUAUUGAGCACUUCAGAUGCCCUGGUUGUUGAGGAUAAGCAAUAAAGAGGAUCGGGACCUGCUCUGUCAACUCUGUUACGUGGUUUACUGACCAAGGUAACCAGGAGAUCAGCCUGUGGAGUUUGGGGGUCAGGAGGGCUUGAGUUUGAGUCUUGAAUCCAUCAUUAAUCAGUUGUGUGACUUUGGAAACUCAGUCUCUUCAGUUCACUCAAAAGGAGGCUGGGCUAUGAGAAGUCCAACAAAGCACAUGGUCUGUACAAUUAACGUCAGUGUACAAAGAAGAAGCACAUCCAGCCACAGGUAGAGGAGUCAGGAUUUGAACCAAGGUGGCUGAACUUGAGCGCUUGCACUCACCAGCAGGAGGUAAGCUUCGUGUGGGCCUUCUUGGGAAGUUGGAAGCAGAGGGUGAUGCUUAGGGAGGGUGAAUAGGAGGCUUUGGUCCUGGGGACAGCAUGUGGGCUUUGGGCUUUGGGCUUUGGGCUUUGGGAAGAGGGCAAGACAGGAUGACCAUGGACAUGGAGUUGGGUGUUUGAGACAGCUGUCACCUGUGGGAUCUUGAAGACUGAAUUCUAAAGGUGAAUCACACUGUCAGAGCUUCUGUUUCCUUAGAGAUGGUCUAGACUCAUCUCAUGCUCUUUUAAACUGUGCCCUGUGGACCCUUAGAGUUCUCCAAGGAGUGGGUAGAUGGGGUCCUAGGUGGGGGCUCAGCACAUGGGUCUUUAAGACGCUCUUCCUUGCUUCAACUAGAGCGAUUUCACUUUGCUUUUCACUUUUUUUUUUUUU